rnacentral:rRNA from 1 species
AACGAACGCUGGCGGCAGGCUUAACACAUGCAAGUCGGACGCCCCGCAAGGGGAGUGGCAGACGGGUGAGUAACGCGUGGGAACAUACCCUUUCCUGAGGAAUAGCUCUGGGAAACUGGAAUUAAUACCGCAUACGCCCUACGGGGGAAAGAUUUAUCGGGGAAGGAUUGGCCCGCGUUGGAUUAGCUAGUUGGUGGGGUAAAGGCCUACCAAGGCGACGAUCCACAGCUGGUCUGAGAGGAUGAUCAACCACAUUGGGACUGAGACACGGCCCAAACUCCUACGGGAGGCAGCAGUGGGGAAUAUUGGACAAUGGGCGCAAGCCUGAUCCAGCCAUGCCGCGUGAGUGAUGAAGGCCUUAGGGUUGUAAAGCUCUUUCACCGAUGAAGAUAAUGACGGUAGUCGGAGAAGAAGCCCCGGCUAACUUCGUGCCAGCCGCCGCAGUAACAC